GGCUUUGAUUGGGAGAAAAUAAGUGGGAAACAAGAGUAGCUUGGACAGGGGGCUUGGACGGCCAGCGCAUUGACCAGAAGCGGCCCACACUACACGCGCGCGAACACACACACACACACACGCACACGCCGCGCGCGGUCAGCUAGAGUUUGGCUACUGGACCCAGGAAGGGAGGGAGCGGGAGGAGCUGGUGGCUGUCGGGUCGGGGUCUGGGCGCCACCGAGCGCCCGCCCCACCUCUGGAGUGCGCAGAAGGCGGUGCGUCCCGGGCCCCGGCAGCCCAGCCCAGGCGCUCUGGCCAAGUUUGCGCGCGGUCUCCGCUGACUCUCGGGUUACCUGAGCCGGCAACCACGUCAGCGCCACAUCAUCUGGGCUUUUUAUAUUGCAAGGAAACAGGAAAA
rnacentral:lncRNA from 1 species